rnacentral:rRNA from 1 species
GUGCCAGCAGCCGCGGUAAUACGGAAGGGGCGAGCGUUGUUCGGAAUCACUGGGCGUAAAGCGCGCGUAGGCGGCUUUGCAAGUGCGGCGUGAAAGUCCUGGGCUCAACCUGGGGACGGCGCUGCGGACUGCAUGGCUGGAGUCCGGAAGAGGGUGGUGGAAUUCCGAGUGUAGAGGUGAAAUUCGUAGAUAUUCGGAGGAACACCGGUGGCGAAGGCGGCCACCUGGUCCGGCACUGACGCUGUAGCGCGAAAGCGUGGGGAGCAAACAGGAUUAGAUACCCGGGUAGUCC